ACUCCUACGGGAGGCAGCAGUGGGGAAUCUUCCGCAAUGGGCGAAAGCCUGACGGAGCAACGCCGCGUGAGUGACGAAGGCCCUUGGGUCGUAAAACUCUGUCUUCAAGGAAGAAAAAAAUGACGGUACCUGAGGAGGAAGCCCCGGCUAACUACGUGCCAGCAGCCGCGGUAAAACGUAGGGGGCGAGCGUUGUCCGGAAUUACUGGGCGUAAAGGGCGUGUAGGCGGUUCGCGAAGUCAGGAAUGAAAACUCGGGGCUCAACCUCGAGAUUGCUUUUGAAACCAGCGGGCUUGAGUGCAGGAGAGGAAAGUGGAAUUCCCAGUGUAGCGGUGAAAUGCGUAGAUAUUGGGAGGAACACCAGUGGCGAAAGCGGCUUUCUGGCCUGUAACUGACGCUGAGGCGCGAAAGCGUGGGGAGCAAACAGGAUUAGAUACCCUGGUAGUCCACGCCGUAAACGAUGGGUGCUAAGUGUUGGGGGUAUCGACCCCCUCAGUGCUGUAGUUAACGCAAUAAGCACCCCGCCUGGGGAGUACGGUCGCAAGACUGAAACUCAAAGGAAUUGACGGGGGCCCGCACAAGCGGUGGAGCAUGUGGUUUAAUUCGACGCAACGCGAAGAACCUUACCAGGGAUUGACAUCCCCUGACCGGGCAUGAAAGUGUCCUUUCCCUUCGGGGACAGGGAGACAGGUGGUGCAUGGUUGUCGUCAGCUCGUGUCGUGAGAUGUUGGGUUAAGCCCCGCAACGAGCGCAACCCCUACGUUUAGUUGCUAACAGGUAGAGCUGAGAACUCUGAACGGACUGCCGUUGACAAAACGGAGGAAGGUGGGGAUGACGUCAAAUCAUCAUGCCCCUUAUACCCUGGGCUACACACGUGCUACAAUGGUCCGUACAGAGGGCAGCGACACGGCGACGUGAAGCGAAUCCCUUAAAGCGGAUCUCAGUUCGGAUUGCAGGCUGCAACUCGCCUGCAUGAAGUCGGAAUCGCUAGUAAUCGCAGGUCAGCAUACUGCGGUGAAUACGUUCCCGGGCCUUGUACACACCGCCCGU
rnacentral:rRNA from 1 species